GGGAAUCCCAUUUCCAUGGCGGCUGCUGCCGUUAUGUCGGCGCAGCGCCCCCCUUCCCGCCGCGGGGCCGGAAUGGCGGCGCGGCGGGGAGGGCGGGAGCGGUGGCUCUGCCCUGUCAACCCGCGGAGGCCUCCGUGAGGAACCCUGAGGGGAAAUGUGAGGGAAAUGGAGGGCUGUUAUGGACAAUUCUGUGUUUUUCAACCCAAAAGCUCCACUGUCAGCCCAAGGGGAUGGUUUGUGCGCAGGGCGGGUCCCUAAUGGCAGCAGGGCACGGAGGAGAUGGGUGCUUUGUCAGGGAAAGUUCUGUUCUAUUGCAAUCCUUUGAUUCCUGCAACACAAAUCUUGAGAAGAAAAAUCCAGUGUAAAAUGAACUGCAGCAAACCCCACCGGGCUGGCACCUCCCCACUGUCGGUAACUUCAUCAAGAUGGAGAGCCCAGAAGCGUUAUCACGUGAACUCUGGAAAAAACAAGCUUGUACUGCUCUACGAUCAAGCCAACAGUUCCCCAACAGCAAUUUACGAAGAGAGCAGGACAAAAAGCAUCCAACCAAAACCCACCACUCAUGCAGAAAAAGCCUCAUAGAAGGUGAAGGGUAAAGUUUCUGCCUCUCAUUUUCCACCUUUCCCAAAGAUCACAAACCCCAAGCGUUCUGGUAGAGCCAUACUGUUAAAGAGGAGCUGCCAGUUUUAACAUCAUAUGUCACCUUUGUGAGCCUUUUGAGACAUUUAGAAAACCCACGGAGAUUCAGAUGUCCUCCAGGAAAAUAUUG
rnacentral:lncRNA from 1 species